CAAUCUUCUCUCUCAAAUCUCUUACCAUCUAAUAUUCUAUCUAUAUUCUAUAUUAUUCUCUCAAUUUUGUUACUAUCAAGUAGACAAAAUACAUAAUAUACUCAUCAAACUUUGGAGCAAAUCCCUGUUACACACUUGUUCUACACGGGCUUUAUUUUACACACCAAACAUUUCAAAAGUGUGUCAAUUACACACCACUUUAGCUAUAUGGCACCCGCGUGUUCUUCGUACCAAACAGGCGCGUAAAUGCUAAAAAUUUCAAUUCAGACGUGUCUACUUUUUUUUCCUUUUUACACUAGUUAACAAAUAAAUAUAAAAAGAAAGAAAAAAUAACCUCGUCUGCUCUUGUCUUCUUCCCCGCCUCAACCCCCAAUCCCCCCUCCCCCGUGUGUCUUUUAGUUGCCCAAGAUCCCAUCAGUGAGAAGGGAAGAAGUGCAGAAGAAAUUACGCAGGGUCUAUUUUUUGUUUUGGAAUUUUAUUUAUAAAGUGGCCCCUGUGGUUCUUUUAAUUGUGCCAAAUAAAUGUCUGAAAAUUUUCCUAUUCGUUAUUUUCUUUUGGCUCAUCAUCGUCGAGUUUUGUGAAAAGGAAAAGAUAAUUCCAAAAAAGAAAGGAUUGUCGGAGAUGGAAUUUCAAGUAAAAUUUCGGCUGGUGAAAUUCUUUGGAUAUUUUAUUUGUAUUUAUCUAUUUGGGUGUUAGAACUACUGAAAAUGUUAUUUGGAUAUGUUAUUUGUGUUUAUCUGUUUGUUUUGUGCCUUUGUAGUUGUUGUUUGUUUUUUGGGUCUUACUGGAAAUGUUUCUCAAGAAAUAAUGGAUGACAAGGUGGGGAAGAUGAAAAUGGGGGUAUAUGUAAUUUUAAGUGCAUUUUUUUAAAUUAAUGACAAAUGUCAGAGCAUAUUGGUGCGUGAUACACAUGCAUUUUGUCAAAUUGGUCUAGCAUGAAAGUAGUGUGCAAUUGACACACGUUUGAAAGGUUUGGUGUGUAAAAUAAAACCCGUGUAGAACAGGUGUGUAAGAGGAAUUUGGUCCAAAGUUUGAUGGGUACAUUAUGUAUUUUGCCUAUCAAGUAUCAAGAUUCAACUUUCAAGUAUUUUGGCAAUUUUUUUGGAGAAACUUUCAAGCUUCAAAUUAAAUUCGUCAAGUAUUUGGGAAAUUUCUUCAAGUUUCAAUAUUUAAUCACGGUGCACUCGUUACAUCUUCUAAUUUUAUAUAUAAUAUUUGCG
rnacentral:lncRNA from 1 species